UGAGUUAAAAAGUUCCCUGAGCCUCUAUUUCCAGGAUUGUAUCUGAGGUCCCAGGGAUCAGAAAGUCACCCUCCCAGGAGACUCUGUGUCACCAAUGCCUCGAAAUUUCUCCUCUCUGCCUCACAGCCCUCUCUCAUCCACUCGGUGCCCACAUGGGCCUUGUUCUGAGUCGUGUAAUUUUCAGGGAGGCCAUGUUUUGCUAAUUAUUGAGGCAAGGCAAGGAAUCAACCUUCCUUGAGGACACGCUGUAUGCCAGACACGGUUUGACUUUCUACAAUGACUACCAAAUUGCUCUCAGUAAUAUCUCAUCAUGAGAUAAAUGGUCUUACCAUUUUAGAAAGAAUUUUGCAUAAAGUCCCACAGCCAGUAGAGUUGGAAGUGAAAUAGAAUUUGCUCUUAAAAAGCCCCUACCCCUCUACUCUGUCUCUCUGUAACCUCUAGUCCCCAGAUUCCUUCCCUUCCCUGUGUCCUGUGCCUUUAAGGAUCAUUUGCAGGGAGUCCUGUUCUGACUAUUUAGGGCUGAGGAGCCUCAGGUGAGUAACACCCAAAACUAGAGUCAGAAGGUUGGCUCGGCACAGCGCUGGGAUGUGUGGAAGUCAGAGAAGCAUGUGAAGAGACAGGUACAGCAGUUCAGCAAGAGCUAUGAGAAUCAGAGGGAAAACCGCCUUCCCCCACGCAGGUCUCUGUGGCUGGUGACCAUCUUCCCAGUGAACACACAGACAGAACUCACAGCACAGUGCCCAGGCGAGGAGAGGAGACCAAUAGGAUCCAGAUCUCAGGGUUUGGUGCUACCUGUCCUGAAGAGGAAUUCUAAUUGCCCCUCAUCUCCGCAAAAGGAAGAGGAGAGAGGAAGGAACCUUUGACACAGCUGCCACACAGCCUUAUCUAGUGGACGUGAACUCUCAAAUGCAAAUACUUAGCAUUUUUCAUUCAAUAAGGUGCUUUUUUUUUUUUAACCAAAGUCAAAGCAUUUAUCAUAAGUUAUUUUUAAAGCUCAGAGAUUGUACUUUUAAUUGGUUAAUGGAUAAAUAUAUUCAUCCAUUUUAUUCCCCAUAUAUUUUUAGUGUGGACAUUCUGAUGUGGACAUUCUGCUAUUGCGUGGUCAGAUAUAGAACACAUGGUUUAUUC
ensembl:lncRNA